rnacentral:rRNA from 1 species
GACGAACGCUGGCGGCGUGCUUAACACAUGCAAGUCGCACGAGUGUCGAACGGGUGAGUAAUACGUGAGUAACUGCCUCUUAGAGGGGGAUAACUCUUGGAAACGAUAGCUAAUACCGCAUACUAGUAGAUGGACCUGCGUUGUAUUAGCUAGUAGGUAGGGUAAUGGCCUACCUAGGCCACGAUACAUAGCCGACCUGAGAGGGUGAUCGGCCACAGUGGGACUGAGACACGGCCCAGAGUCCUACAGGAGGCAGCAGUAGGGAAUCGUCGGCAAUGGGGGGAACCCUGACCGAGCAACGCCGCGUGAGUGAAGAAGGUUUUCGGAUCGUAAAGCUCUGUUGUUAAGGAAGCGGUACUUAACCAGUAAGGGACGGCUAACUACGUGCCAGCAGCCGCGGUAAUAC